GAUGAACGCUAGCGGCAGGCCUAACACAUGCAAGUCGAGGGGUAGAACACUUCGGUGUUUGAGACCGGCGCACGGGUGCGUAACGCGUAUGCAAUCUACCUUAUACAGGGGAAUAGCCCAGAGAAAUUUGGAUUAAUGCCCCAUAGUAUUAUUGAAUGGCAUCAUUUAAUAAUUAAAGUUCCAACGGUAUAAGAUGAGCAUGCGUCCCAUUAGUUAGUUGGUAAGGUAACGGCUUACCAAGACGAUGAUAGGUAGGGGUCCUGAGAGGGAGAUCCCCCACACUGGUACUGAGAUACGGACCAGACUCCUACGGGAGGCAGCAGUGAGGAAUAUUGGUCAAUGGUCGAAAGACUGAACCAGCCAUGCCGCGUGCAGGAAGACGGUCCUAUGGAUUGUAAACUGCUUUUAUACAGGAAGAAACCCUCCCACGUGUGGGAGCUUGACGGUACUGUAGGAAUAAGGAUCGGCUAACUCCGUGCCAGCAGCCGCCGCGGUAA
rnacentral:rRNA from 1 species